rnacentral:rRNA from 1 species
UACGAAGGGGGCUAGCGUUGUUCGGAUUUACUGGGCGUAAAGCGCACGUAGGCGGAUCGUUAAGUCGGGGGUGAAAUCCUGGAGCUCAACUCCAGAACUGCCUUCGAUACCGGCGAUCUUGAGUCCGGAAGAGGUGAGUGGAACUCCUAGUGUAGAGGUGGAAUUCGUAGAUAUUAGGAAGAACACCGGUGGCGAAGGCGGCCCACUGGAUCGGUACUGACGCUGAGGUGCGAAAGCGUGGGGAGCAAACAGG